rnacentral:rRNA from 1 species
UGAGUACGAGCGGCUACGGCCGCGAAGUGGAUGAUGUCAAGCUUCCAAGAAAAGCCCUAUACCCGUUAAGGCAUGAUGGCCUGUACCCGAAACCGACACAGGUGGGGUGGUAGAGAAUACCGAGGGGCGCGAGGUAACUCUCUCUAAGGAACUCGGCAAAAUGGCCCCGUAACUUCGGGAGAAGGGGUGCCACCGCGAGGUGGUCGCAGUGAAGAGGCCCAGGCGACUGUUUACCAAAAACACAGGUCUCCGCUAAGUCGCAAGACGAUGUAUGGGGGCUGACGCCUGCCCAGUGCCGGAAGGUUAAGGAAGCUGGUCAGCGCAAGCGAAGCUGGCGACUGAAGCCCCGGUGAACGGCGGCCGUAACUAUAACGGUCCUAAGGUAGCGAAAUUCCUUGUCGGGUAAGUUCCGACCCGCACGAAAGGCGUAACGAUCUGGGCGCUGUCUCGGAGAGAGGCUCGGCGAAAUAGAAUUGUCUGUGAAGAUGCGGACUACGUGCACCCGGACAGAAAGACCCUAUGAAGCUUUACUGUAGCUUGGUAUUGUGCUCGGGCUCGGAAUGCGCAGGAUAGGUGGGAGCUUUGAUCCAUUGCUUGCGGGUGAUGGUGAGCCACUGGUGAGAUACCACUCUUUCCGAGCUAGAGUUCUAACAGCAACCCGUUAUCCGGGUGCUGGACAGUAUCAGGUGGGCAGUUUGACUGGGGCGGUCGCCUCCUAAAAGGUAACGGAGGCGCGCAAAGGUCUGCUCAGGCUGGUUGGAGAUCAGCCGACGAGUGUAAAAGCAGAAGCAGGCUUGACUGUGAGACCUACAAGUCGAACAGGGAGGAAACUCGGCUUUAGUGAUCCGACGGUUCUGCGUGGAAGGGCCGUCGCUCAACGGAUAAAAGUUACUCUAAGGAUAACAGGCUGAUCUCCCCCAAGAGUUCACAUCGACGGGGAGGUUUGGCACCUCGAUGUCGGCUCAUCGCAACCUGGGGCUGAAGUCGGUCCCAAGGGUUGGGCUGUUCGCCCAUUAAAGCGGUACGCGAGCUGGGUUCAGAACGUCGUGAGACAGUUCGGUCCAUAUCCGGUGCACGCGCAGGAAUAUUGAGAGGAUUUCUCCCUAGUACGAGAGGACCGGGAGGAACGCACCUCUGGUGUGCCAGUUAUCGUGCCAACGGUAAACGCUGGGUAGCCAUGUGCGGAGUGGAUAACCGCUGAAAGCAUCUAAGUGGGAAGCCCACCUCAAGAUGAGUAUUCCCAUGGCAUAAGCCAGUAAGGUCACGGGAAGAACACCCGUUGAUAGGCUCUACGUGGAAGCGCAGUAAUGUGUGAAGCGGAGGAGUACUAAUAGACCGAGGGCUUGACC